rnacentral:tRNA from 1 species
GCCUUUGAGGCGCAAUGGUAGCGCCGUCUUGACUCCAGAUCAGAAGCUGCGUGUUCAAACGCGUCAAGGUCU